rnacentral:lncRNA from 1 species
CUUGAUUAAGCAAUACCACCUAGGGAUAGGGGGUAGGACGAUCAAUUGUUUUUUCUUCUGUUCUUAAUGCGUUAUUAAUUACUAGGGGAGGCUAGGGAUAGCAAGCCAGUAACUAAUAAUAGGCUCUUUUCGCCAAGGGAUCGGGUUAAGGGUAGACUAAGAAAGUUUGCAUGACAAUUAGAUAACAAAGUGAAACAAAUAAGAAAAGUAAAUAUGUGAGAGUGAUUGGGUGAAAUCUGAACCCUAUCAACAAAUCCAUCUCAUCUUAUCAACAUCAUCCAUCAACUUUUGUGUUUAACCUCAAUUGAUCAAAUUGCAUUCAUAUUUAUUUUUCUGCACUUUAUAUUGAAAAAUCCCAAAAUAUUAUUUUUAUAGUCUUGAUUGGUUAAGCAAAAGCACAACAAUUUAGUGUUGUGAGUCUCUUGGGAAAACGAUACUUGGACUUACCAUUUAUUAUUACUUAAUACGAUCUGGUACAUUUGCCAGUUUGUUAACACUUGGCAAGCCUCUAAUAUCAACACUCAAAACAUAUAUGCAUGUUCAAAUCAAAAGGUCUUUUAUGGAUGCAAUGGGGUCAAGGAAAAGGGAGGAUAAAUAUGGUUGAGAAGCUACAAACCAAAGGAAAUAGAGGAGCAAUGGGGAACAAGUGUAAACACAGUAUACUCACACCCAAAACCUCUAAUUCCAUCCUGUUCUUGACUCCUUUAUUCACAAUUUUUUUUAAUUUUUUUCUCAGUUUUUUGUUUUUUUUUUCAUUUCUCAUCUUGUCUCUUUUCUUUUCUCUCUUUUUAGAACACAAAUUUCAAGAGGAAGGAUGCACACAUAUUUAC